rnacentral:rRNA from 1 species
GACGAACACUGGCGGCGUGCUUAACACAUGCAAGUCGAACGAUGAAGAAAAGAAUUGAAGCUUCGGCAGAAAUUCAUUUCGGAUUAGUGGCAGACGGGUGAGUAACGCGUGAGCAACCUACCUCUUACAAAGGGAUAGCCUCGGGAAACCGGGAUUAAUACCAUAUAACAUUGCGACGAAGCAUUUCGAUGCAAUCAAAGCUACGGCGGUAAGAGAUGGGCUCGCGUCCCAUUAACCAGAUGGUGAGGUAACGGCUCACCAUAGUAACGAUGGGUAACCGGCCUGAGAGGGUGAACGGUCACACUGGAACUGAGACACGGUCCAGACUCCUACGGGAGGCAGCAGUGGGGAAUAUUGCACAAUGGAGGGAACUCUGAUGCAGCGACGCCGCGUGAGUGAUGAAGGAAUUCGUUUCGUAAAACUCUGUUCUAUGGGAAGAAAAGGACUGUACCAUAGGAGAAAGCUCCGGCUAAAUACGUG